CUAGAGAAUCUAGACAGAAAGGGCUCUCCACCUGGAAUAAAGCCAGCCUGCCUACCAUUGGGCAAGUCUGGGGAGAUUUUGCUGGGGUAUAGAAGACACAAGAGAAAAAAUUAAGAAUCGACAGAAAGGAUACAUCUGGAUAGAGCAAAAGAUGAGAAUCCCAAUGGCUUCAGACCCUCGCCCACAUCCAGUGAUGUCAGUGCUGGUCUAGGUUUUGGAGAUGCCAAUAGGUGUGCCUUCCAGGUAAGAGGCAGCAACUUAGUGAUGCUCUCGUUUAUCACCCCUAACGUUGGAGGACUUCCCAUGUUCUCACUUGGUAUUUGUGUUGUGUCGACGUGUCUACUAUUUGUAUUUUGUUACUGUGUCUUUUGCUCAUUCUAAAUGGUUUCUUGAUUUUUUUUUAAUUGCUAGGUUUUAAGGAUUCUCUCUAUAUUUUGGAUAACGGUACUUUAUCAGAUGUGACUCUCAUUCUGUGGCUUGUCUUACCCUUUUGACAUUGUCUUACAGAGCAGACAUUUUAAACUUUAAUGAAGUCCAGCUGGCCAAUCAAUUAUUUCUUUCAUGGGUUAUGUCUUUAUCAUAAUACCCAAGGCCAUCUUAGCGUUCCUUGUGCUGCCUUCUGGGAGUUUUAUAGGUUUGCAUUUUACACCUAGGCUUAGAAUGUAUUUUGAGUUACUUUUUGUGGGAAGGAUAAAGUCUAGGCUUUAAUUCCUUUUUUACCCCCCCCCAUUGUUCCAGCAUGAUAUAUUAAUGACUGUCUUUUCUCCAUUGUGCUGAUUUGUUUCUUUGAUCAUGUGUGCUGUGGUGGUUUGAAUGAGAAUGAUCCCUAUAGGUUCAAAUGUUUAAACACUGGACCCUCAGUUGGUGGACCUGUUUGGGAAGGAUUAGUGGGUGGGGUCUGAUUGGAGGAGGUAUGUCACAGGGAUGGGCUUUGAGGCUUCAAAAGCCUCCCACCAUCCCCAGUGUCCCUUCUCUUUCCUAUAUGUGAACCAAGCAGUUGUCAAUUGCUGCCCCAACUGCCUGUUGCCAUGCCUUCAUUCCACCAUGCCUUCAUUCACUCCGCCAUGCUAGACUCUAACCCUCUGGAACCAUAAGCCUAAUUAACCUUUCUUUUAUAAGUUGCCUUGGCCAGAGUGUCUUAUCACAGAAAUAAAAAAGUAAAUACAUGUGUAGAAAUGUGUCUGAAUUCACCAUUUGAUUCAUGUAAACCUGAAUUUUCUACAUAGACAUUUAUAACAUCUAGGGACAGAGACAUCCUUUCCAGUCUGUGUAAUGUCAUUUCCUUCUCCCACACUGCACUAACUGGAAUUUUCAGUAUGGUACCAAAAAGAGGUGUGUGUAUGGGGGUGUAAUUUUGAUCUUGUGGGAAAGCGUCAAA